UCUUGCGAUACGUUUUUGGUACGAUGAUAUUUUUGGUACGUCUUUGCGUAUGGUAAUUGGGAAAUUAUUUUAUGGAUGGCAUGUACUAAAAGCCUCUAUUUAAUGUAAAGUUUUUAUUUUUUAAGAUCUACAGGAGCAAUUGAUAAAGUGAUGUUAAAGACAUGCAAUUUUGAUACGUGCAUAUUUACUUGAACCGUUACACCACUUAAUGGCGGAGUGAGACGUGAAUUUCCAUUCAGCCUAUGUCGGGUUACGUGUGUGCUAAACUUACCGCACACCUGCAGUUCCCUGGUUCCCUGUCUCUUUUUCUGCACCUGUUCUCCUUAUCAACAUGCCUGAAGGAGCUGGAUUCUCACCCCGCCCCCAUACAGCCCGAAGGAGUCACCUUGACACAACCAGAGAAAACUGCACAUCUUACAAUGAAGAAGAGGGAUUUCAUCCUGUAGGAAAUGUGUCCAACCUCAACGUGUUUCCAAGAGCUCAGAAGUGCUGUGAGUCAUUCCCCUGUGUGAGUGCUGCGAUGACAUCAUCAUGCUUCCUAUAAAGGGCCUUGAAGCCAGACCACCCACCCGCCCACACAAACACCCCUGCUGCAGCCAUCACAUCCAUAUAGAAUAACAGGGAACAUCUUUUUCUGUCCAACCAUCAGGGAUGUUCAGCAUUUUCCUUCAAGAGGAAAACCACAAUGUCUAGCGGUAGCACUGUUUUGCCUUAGAGAAGAUGAUUUGGGGGGGUGGGGGGAGAGUUUGAAAAUUCUUUUUUGGGAUCAGUAUUAUUGUUCAGUUGUGCCAUGACAGAAAAAGGCUGUUAUGAGACAGCAUAAAGCCAUAGCAAACAAGGUAAAAGCACCCUGAUUAAUUAUCAGUAUUAUCUUUGAGUAUUAAUCUAAAAAAAAGAGAAAAAGCGUAGCUCUUGUUUCCUCUUUCUGAUUUUAUGUGAUUGAUAUUCAGUGGGUUAGCUGAUAGUGUCCUGGCCUGCAACUCAGAGUGUGAUGUUUACAUGCUCUCUCUAGGAACUCCCUCCUUUUGAAGGGCAAAGACAAAUGUUGUUCAGGUGAAAUGACGACUUUACAGAGCACUAUCACGUCCAAAUCACUGACUGUUUUGGCACCACAUAUGCGCACUCCAAAGGCAAACUGCAGCCAGCCAUCCAUUCUGUAUCUCUCAGCUCUCUUCCAACCAAUGUCUACAAAACUGCAGCACAAAGAAGUGUGCAGAAAAUUGCUCCUGACCCACCAACCAC